rnacentral:rRNA from 1 species
AGAGUGCGUAACAGCUCACUGGUCUAGUGGUUCCGCGCCGACAAUGUAGCGGGGCUCAAGCACACCACCGAAGACGCGGCAGUAUUUUUGUACUGGGUAGGAGAGCGUCCCAUGAGGGGCGAAGCGGCCGUGUGAACGCGCCGUGGACUUCAUGGGAGUGAGAAUGCAGACAUGAGUAGCGAGAGACGGGUGAAGAUCCCGUCCGCUGGAUGACCAAGGGUUCCAGGGCCACGUUCAUCGUCCCUGGGUGAGUCGGGUCCUAAGGCGAGGCCGACAGGCGUAGUCGAAUGGAUGAACGGGUCGAUAUUCCCGUACCGGCUUUCAGCCGCCAAAACCGAGGCAGUGAGUACUAACCUCCGGCCGCGGGCUUACCUCCACUUCGGUGGUGGGAUGCCUUCGGUCGUUGGGACCGUAGCUGCAGUAGGUCAGCGCAGGAGUGACGCAGAAGGGUAGCCGGCCGCGGAGGUGGUCUUCCGUGGUCAAGCACGCAGGGCGUGGGACAGGCAAAUCCGUCCCGCAUGUGCCCGAGGUGCGAUGAUGGGGGCCGUUCGGCCCGAUAUCCGGUGAUUCCGGCUGCCGAGAAAAGCUUCGGCGUCAGGCUCAAAGCCGCCCGUACCCCAAACCGACACUGGUGGUCAGGUAGAGAAUACCAAAGCGAUCGAGCGAAUCCUGGUCAAGGAACUCGGCAAAUCACUCCCGUUCCUUCGGUUUAAGGGAGACCCCCGAUGGUGAACCGCCUCGCGCGGGGAGCUUUUGGGGGUGGCACAGACCAGGGGGUAGCGACUGUUUACCAAAAACACAGGUGCAUGCGAAGGCGCAAGCCGCUGUAUAUGCACUGACGCCUGCCCGGUGCCGGAAGGUUAAGAGGAUCCGUCAGCCUUUGGCGAAGCGGUGAAUUCAAGCCCCGGUAAACGGCGGUGGUAACUAUAACCAUCCUAAGGUAGCGAAAUUCCUUGUCGGGUAAGUUCCGACCUGCACGAAUGGCGUAACGACUUCCCCACUGUCUCGACCAGGAGCUCGGCGAAAUUGCAGUACGAGUAAAGAUGCUCGUUAAGCGCAGAAGGACGAAAAGACCCCGGGACCUUUACUAUACCUUGGUAUUGGCAUUCGGUGUGGAUUGUGUAGCAUAGGCGGGAGGCCGAGAGGCGCGGUCGCCAGAUCGCGUGGAGCCGCAAGGUGAAAUACCGCUCUGUUCGCAUUGGAUGUCUAACCUCGAACGGUCAUCCUGUUCAGGGACAGUGCCUGGCGGGUAGUUUAACUGGGGCGGUUGCCUCCCAAAGAGUAACGGAGGCGCCCAAAGGUCCGCUCAGCCCGGUUGGCAAUCGGGUGGCGAGUGCAAGUGCACAAGCGGGCUUGACUGCGAGGACGACGGUCCGAGCAGGGACGAAAGUCGGGACUAGUGAUCCGGUGCCGGUGUACGGACGCGGCAUCGCUCAACGGAUAAAAGGUACCCCGGGGAUAACAGGCUGAUCAUUCCCAAGAGUCCAUAUCGACGGGAUGGUUUGGCACCUCGAUGUCGGCUCGUCGCAUCCUGGGGCUGGAGCAGGUCCCAAGGGUUCGGCUGUUCGCCGAUUAAAGCGGCACGCGAGCUGGGUUCAGAACGUCGUGAGACAGUUUGGUCUCUAUCCUCUGCGCUCGUUGGAAUGCUGAGGAGGCCUGCCCAUAGUACGAGAGGACCUGGGUGGACGAACCUCUGGUAUGCCGGUUGUCACGCCAGUGGCACGGCCGGUUGGCUACGUUCGGGAGGGAUAACCGCUGAAAGCAUCUAAGCGGGAAGCCUGCUCCAAGAUAAGCAUUCCGUGCAGCCUCGAGCUGCUGUAGUCCCCAUGCAGAACACGUGGUCGAUAGGCCGGACGUGGAAGCCCCGCGAGGGGUGGAGCCGACCGGUACUAACGGACGAAAGGCAACACAACAAUCCCAACCAUCGGUUGG